UACGUAGGGUGCGAGCGUUGUCCGGAAUUAUUGGGCGUAAAGAGCUCGUAGGCGGUGUGUCACGUCGUUCGUGAAAACCUGCAGCUUAACUGUGGCGUGCGGUCGAUACGGGCAUCACUGGAGUUCGGCAGGGGAGACUGGAAUUCCUGGUGUAGCGGUGAAAUGCGCAGAUAUCUGGAGGAACACCGGUGGCGAAGGCGGCGUCCUGGACCAACACUGACACUGAUGAGCGAAAGCCAGGGGAGCAAACGGG
rnacentral:rRNA from 1 species